rnacentral:hammerhead_ribozyme from 1 species
GCACUGCUAAAGAGUCCCACGAUAGGACGAAACGGCCGUCCAGUGA